rnacentral:rRNA from 1 species
AUUGAACGCUGGCGGCAUGCCUUACACAUGCAAGUCGAACGGCAGCACGGGAGCAAUCCUGGUGGCGAGUGGCGAACGGGUGAGUAACGCAUCGGAACGUGCCCAGUCGUGGGAGAUAACGUAGAGAAAUUUACGCUAAUACCGCAUACGAUCUAUGGAUGAAAGCAGGGGAUCGCAAGACCUUGCGCGAUUGGAGCGGCCGAUGUCAGAUUAGGUAGUUGGUGGGGUAAAGGCCCACCAAGCCGACGAUCUGUAGCUGGUCUGAGAGGACGACCAGCCACACGGGGACUGAGACACGGCCCAGACUCCUACGGGAGGCAGCAGUGGGGAAUUUUGGACAAUGGGCGAAAGCCUGAUCCAGCCACGCCGCGUGCAGGAUGAAGGCAUUCGGGUUGUAAACUGCUUUUGUACGGAACGAAAAGCUCUGGGUUAAUACCCUGGGGUCAUGACGGUACCGUAAGAAUAAGCACCGGCUAACUACGUGCCAGCAGCCGCCGUAAAAC